rnacentral:tRNA from 1 species
AUUUAGGUCAGCUAAAAAAGCUAAUGAGUUCAUAUCUCAUAAAUGAAUUAAUUUCUAUUUUGAAUG